UGUGAACUGGAGACCUUGAGUUACAGGAGAGGGAAAGCCGAUUUACUUACGGUAUGCGGUUCCAUGCAUUGAUAUUUAGCAGUAACAACCAGUGGGCGAGCCGGCUUUUCUUGGACUUGUUACCUGACACUGAGGUACGAAUGUCGUGGGGGAGCCAAACCAUGAUUUAGAUAUCCUCGCUAGUUUACGCUGUAACGAUGAGCACUAGUUGUCGGCGUUCGCCACGAUCUUCGUUGCCGCAGUUGUCGCAUUAAGUGCUUCUCCCUGGGGAGUACGCACGCAAGUGUGAAACUCAAACGAAUUGACGGGGGCCCGCACAAGCAGCAGAGCAUGUGGUUUUAUUAGAAGCAACGCGAAGAACCUUACCUAGACUUGACAUCUCCUGAAUUACCCUUAACCGGGGAAGCCCUUCGGGGCAGGAAGACAGGUGGUGCAUGGUUGUCGUCAGCUCGUGUCGUGAGAUGUUGGGUUAAGUCCCGCAACGAGCGCAAC
rnacentral:rRNA from 1 species